rnacentral:misc_RNA from 1 species
AAAUUGAAUAUUAAAUAAGUUGAUGUCUCUCCCACAAUACAUGAUACAAGCUCCGAAAGGCCAAAAAGGGAGAACCCCUCUGACUUGCCUUCAGGCAAAAAACGUUUGAAAGAAAAAUGAUAAUUUCUUCCGAAUGAUAAAAUCAUAUAUGCCAAAAAAAAAAGCAUUAGUUUAUUGAAAGCGUCGUUUUAGUGCAAGUUAGGCGAACUUAUCGGCCAUCUGAAGUAGGGGCCAGAGGGUGCUAUGUCUUCUUAAUGGAAAUCGUCCAAAGAAGAUCUGAACUGGACUGUACGGUUACCUUCUCUCCUUUGACUAUGUUCGAUGUACUUAUUAGACCACCAAAAGUCAUCUCCAUGUUAGUGAGAUCCCAUUGGAGUCCAGUAGUUGUGGUACUCGCAGAUGGCAUCCCUAUGGGAAUGAGUCCGCAAUUUGGACCCUCAACAGAGGAUUGGAUAUAAAUCUCAUGAUAGUGAGUCCUUGGAAGGAGGUAGAUGAGGCAGUCAUCAGAUAUAAGAAUUAUUCUCAUGGUUGAGAAACGAUAUAAAACAUUUAUGUUUCCAGCCUCAUGGUCAAAUCGUCC